rnacentral:rRNA from 1 species
CCUACGGGAGGCAGCAGUAGGGAAUCUUCCACAAUGGGCGAAAGCCUGAUGGAGCAACGCCGCGUGGGUGAAGAAGGUCUUCGGAUCGUAAAACCCUGUUGUUAGAGAAGAAAGUGCGUGAGAGUAACUGUUCACGUUUCGACGGUAUCUAACCAGCAAGCCACGGCUAACUACGUGCCAGCAGCCGCGGUCAUACGUAGGUGGCAAGCGUUAUCCGGAUUUUUUGGGCGUAAAGGGAACGCAGGCGGUCUUUUAAGUCUGAUGUGAAAGCCUUCGGCUUAACCGGAGUAGUGCAUUGGAAACUGGGAGACUUGAGUGCAGAAGAGGAGAGUGGAACUCCAUGUGUAGCGGUGAAAUGCGUAGAUAUAUGGAAGAACACCAGUGGCGAAAGCGGCUCUCUGGUCUGUAACUGACGCUGAGGUUCGAAAGCGUGGGUAGCAAACAGGAUUAGAUACCCGAGUAGUC